GCCACCUAUUGACAGCCAUUACUCAUUAGAUAAUUGUGUUGAGUGGUUGUCAAAAGUUUUCCUAUUUUUCCAUGAAAAUUACCGAUGAAUUCAUAAGUAAAUUCAAGUUCGUUUCUGUGCAAAUUGUUUGUGAUGUGGUUUAUUCCGUAUGUGUGCUGGAUUAAAUUCAAAAUUCCUCAAUCUAACCUGUAGGAAGGAACUGGAAAGGAAACAGUAGCAUACAAGUUGCCUACCAUCACUAACACCAACUCUUUUAUUAAAAAUCUUCGUUCUGCUGAAUGCAUCAUGCAGUUAAUACAGGUCACUACCCCAGUGUGGACAUGUUUGUUUUUCUGAACAUGUUUUUCAACAAAUAAUUCAUUGACAUACAAAUUGUAUUUUCUGUCAUAGGGAAAACUAUGAAAAAUAUCAUAUCAUCUUGGCCAUGGGUAAUCUACUAAUCUUCAGGUUUAUUGCAGCAGCUUAAGAGAAGAAUAUGAACAAAUGCAGGGCAAAUACCAACAUGUGUUGUAUUUUUCUGAAUGUUAAACACAAGCAGUAGAUUCAACACGGCUAACUGUUUGAUGCCAAAGUUGGUUGGAACUCAACUCACUGUACGUACUCUAACACAGAUAACUGGUGCUGUUGCCUUUCAGCCACAGGCAGGAAAAUCAUUCUUUUCUUCAGAAAAUUGGAAAGCUGCUGGAGUAAUCUGGUGUUCAUGCUCAUUUGAUACUUUCGUGCCAGCUAGUGAAAGCCGAAAGGCAUGUCAAUUCAAUUGAGUUGCUCCGUGCUGUCUCGAAGCAAGCAAUCCAGCCGUUGCGUUCAGUCAUUUGGAACAGGAAUCUAAUGGCUGUCAAUAGGUGGCUGUGAAUAAGUGACUGAAAUAAUGUCCACCAG
rnacentral:lncRNA from 1 species